rnacentral:rRNA from 1 species
CCUACGGGAGGCAGCAGUGAGGAAUAUUGGUCAAUGGCCGGAAGGCUGAACCAGCCAAGCCGCGUGAAGGACGAAGGUGCCAAGCAUUGUAAACUUCUUUUGUCAAGGGACAAAAUCAGGCUCGAGAGCCUGACCGAGGGUACUUGAUGAAAAAGCAUCGGCUAACUCCGUGCCAGCAGCCGCGGUAAUACGGGGGAUGCGAGCGUUAUCCGGAUUUAUUGGGUUUAAAGGGUGCGUAGGCGGACUGUUAAGUCAGCGGUAAAAGCGCGGGGCUCAACCCAGUCCAGCAGUGGAAACUGGGGAGCUAGAGUGUGCGAGAGGUAUGCGGAAUGCGUGGUGUAGCGGUGAAAUACAUAGAUAUCACGAAGAACCCCGAUGGCGAAGGCAGCAUACCGGUGCACAACUGACGCUCAGGCACGAAAGCGUGGGUAUCGAACAGGAUUAGAUACCCUUGUAGUC